CAAUAAUAGCCAUUAGUGGGAAAGACUGGAAACAAAUAUCUUAAUAUGAGACAGCGUAGUCAUCUUGCUGUUUAUGUGAAGCUUCUUGGAGGAAUGAAAGCUACCCAGGAGAGAAAUUAUAAGAGCCUUGGUCACAGCACUGCAAGCAGUAGUGGCUUCCACACAGGUGCUGUCCUUUCAAUGAGGACUGCAGUUUGGUACGUGGUUGGUGUGCAGAAGUUGCAGCCUUGCAUCUUCACUGCUACUUUGGAAGAGCCUGUCCCUUCAUAUCUGUAGUUCUUUACACAUAGUUGAAUGGACAAAUAAAUUCUCUUGAGUUCCCCUCAUAAUCCUGUGCCAUGAUAUGGUUAAGCAGAAUUUAAUGAUAAAAUAUGUGCUGAACUGGGCUUCAGCAUGAGGGGGAAUUCCUGCCUGGCCCUUUUCAAAUUAGAAGAGCAUCUAUGUUUGAUUUAUUUGGCCUUUUGUGUUUAUUUUUUUUAGGUAUCGGGGUAUUUUUAAAGUAUUCUCAAAUACACUUAACUCUUCUAGAUCCACAUUUUGCAUAUGUGUCAUAAAGACAGCCUAUUUAUCUUCUGCCCCUGUUGAUAACAAAUAACCUCUCACUUUACAAAGUCUGUUUCUGAGGAACAUUUUUACCCCUUUCACUCUGAUUAAAUGGGAAUAAAAUGCUUGUAUAAUUCUCCCUGGGUAGAAAACAGGGAAAACUGUGGUCUUAAAACAAAAUUGAUGCCUACACCAAUCUUCUCUCUCCUGAUAUUUCCUGCUCUCCCAUCUCAAUUUGUAAAUUAAAAAUUCAAAUACCCGGAUGUAUAUAUAUAGCAUUACAAUAUCUUUAAACUUAUGAAAACAAAACCCAAACCACUGUUUUGUUGGACUUUGAUG